CCAGUUCGGAUCCCCCCAGGGAUUCCCCCAGGAGUGCCCAGGGGCUACGUGGGCACCGGGCGCUUGUCCUGGAAGAAGCGCUUGAGCGUGCAGACCUGCAGCACAGCCACCAGCAGCAGCACCGCCACGUUGACAGCUGACCAGAAGUUGACCCGCUCCAAGUUGCCCUCUUGCAGGUUGCGGUCACGUGCCUCGAAGGCCCGCAGUAGCGUGAGCAUCUGGAUGCUGCGCUCCAGCCGGGUCCGCAUGGUCUCAAUGGACUCCUACAGGGCAGCGGGAGGGGAAGGGUCAGGCCUCCCUCCACCCAUCAGGGAGCAGAGACCAAAAAAACCGGGGGAUACGGAGGGAGGCUGUAUUAACCCUGGGAGGUACAGCUGCAAACACAGACUUGUUCAGGCUAAGUUCAAAUCCUCACCCUGCCACUCACUGGCUGUGACCAUGAGCAACUUAAUUAACCUAUCUGAGCCUGUUUCCUCUUCUAUAAGCUUCCAAAUUGCUGUGAACAUUUAAUGCCUAAAUAAAUGUACAAGGAUGAGCA
rnacentral:lncRNA from 10 species